rnacentral:rRNA from 1 species
AUGCCCAAAUCACCUCAACGGUGCCUCCAAGGAAGAAAGCAACGCCCACGGGCGCCGCCGCCACCGGCCGGCAAGAACUGGCCAAGCUUUCGCUCGGAUCAUCGACACCACCACUCCCACGCCAGCAACUCCACUGACCCGUGCACCCCUGCACAACAACAGCGCCAUGACCGUGCAGGGAACACCACCACGCCUUACUAUCAAGCCAACCAUGGCAAACCACUAGCACGUAGACUAAUGCACGUCCUCCGGACAGGGAAGGGCAGAUUGCCACCCCGCAUCCUCCCGCCAGCCGGAUCUGGUGGUUCAAAGUCCGUACAGAAGCAGACACAACAGCCCGAGCCGUCGGAGCUGUGA